UUUAGCCGGUAGGAUUUGGGCACAACCGUGAUUGACAGAGUUGAGUCACCGCAGUAAACAGUUUGCGGGUUGGGGCUUGUCGCUCAUUACAAUUGGGUGCAUUUGAGUAUCUGGGGUUCUCAGUUACCAAAUCCUUUGCACAAUCAACUGCCAAAAUGUGUUGGAGUCAACGCGCCUCAGGCAUGAACACACUACUUUAGAGACUCGUGAGAUAUUUGCGUUGGAUAUAAAGUUUUACAGAUUGAGCAUUGACUUGUUUCUCUUUGAGGGAGAACAUCUGUCAGAAGUUUGGACGCUUUUUAAGUUGGAAAGUUUUACAGAUUGAGCAUUGACUUGUAUCUCUUUGAGGGAGAACAUCUGUCAGAAGUUUGGACGCUUUUUAAGUUGGAAAGGUAAGAAUAUCUAACCAGAGUUAGACAAAAGUUUACCUGUAUUGCAAUGGGCGUCUGUACUGUUAGACAAUAUUUGAAUUUUUGGUUGCUUUGAGCCGUGGAAAGGGCGUUAGAUGUUUCUCGGAUUCGGGAAUUUUGACUGAAACAAUUGGAGACUUUCCGGACGAUUUACCACACACGUUUGCCCGAUCACGUGGCAUUUCAUCCAGAGCUAAAGUUUUUGCAAACCAAAUGGUUGGGAGAUCUUGGCCCAGUAAUCCUUUUUUCGUGUAAUAGUGAUUUUUCAUCAAAUAAAUAGAGAAUAAUACAUGGGCGCGCGUAGAUAUGGAAUUUCUGUGUGUAACUCGAUAGCUCACGAGUGAACGCAGCGAACGAGUGAGAUGUCGAGUUG